rnacentral:rRNA from 1 species
AACGAACGCUGGCGGCAUGCCUAACACAUGCAAGUCGAACGAGAUCUUCGGGUCUAGUGGCGCACGGGUGCGUAACGCGUGGGAAUCUGCCCUUUGGUUCGGAAUAACAGGUGGAAACGACUGCUAAUACCGGAUGAUGACGAAAGUCCAAGAUUUAUCGCCAGAGGAUGAGCCCGCGUAGGAUUAGCUAGUUGGUGUGGUAAAGGCGCACCAAGGCGACGAUCCUUAGCUGGUCUGAGAGGAUGAUCAGCCACACUGGGACUGGAGACACGGCCCAGACUCCUACGGGAGGCAGCAGUGGGGAAUAUUGGACAAUGGGCGAAAGCCUGAUCCAGCAAUGCCGCGUGAGUGAUGAAGGCCUUAGGGUUGUAAAGCUCUUUUACCCGGGAUGAUAAUGACAGUACCGGGAGAAUAAGCUCCGGCUAACUCCGUGCCAGCCGCCGCGGUAACAC